rnacentral:rRNA from 1 species
CAAUAGCGUAUAUUAAAGUUGUUGCGGCUAAAAAGCUCGUAGUUGGAGUUCUGCCAGGUGCCGCCUGUCCGCCCCAGUGGUGAGUACGUGGCGCGCAUUUGGCCCUUUCAAGGGGAGCGUAUCUGCACUUUAUUGUGUGGUGCGGGAUCCUUGACUUUUACUUUGAGGAAAUAGGAGUGUUCCAAGCAGGCUCUCGUCGUGCACAGCUCAGCAUGGAAUAAUAGCAUUGGACCUCGAUUCUAAGCUGUUGGUUGCCAGAAGCGAGGUAAUGAUGAAGAGGGAUAGUUGGGGGCAUUCGUAUUUAACUGUCAGAGGUGAAAUUCUUGGACUUGUUAAAGACGGACUACUGCGAAAGCAUCUGCCAUGGAUGUUUUCAUUGA